rnacentral:rRNA from 1 species
AACGAACGCUGGCGGCAUGCCUAACACAUGCAAGUCGAACGAGACCUUCGGGUCUAGUGGCUCACGGGUGCGUAACGCGUGGGAACCUGCCCUUAGGUUCGGAAUAACUCCCCGAAAGGGGUGCUAAUACCGGAUAAUGUCUUCGGGCCAAAGAUUUAUCGCCUUUGGAUGGGCCCGCGUUGGAUUAGCUAGUUGGUAGGGUAAAAGCCUACCAAGGCGACGAUCCAUAGCUGGUCUGAGAGGAUGAUCAGCCACACUGGGACUGAGACACGGCCCAGACUCCUACGGGAGGCAGCAGUGGGGAAUAUUGGACAAUGGGCGAAAGCCUGAUCCAGCAAUGCCGCGUGAGUGAUGAAGGCCUUAGGGUUGUAAAGCUCUUUUACCCGGGAUGAUAAUGACAGUACCGGGAGAAUAAGCUCCGGCUAACUCCGUG